rnacentral:rRNA from 1 species
UGCAAUAAUCCAAAAGCGGAGGAAAAGAAACCAACAGGGAUUGCCUCAGUAACGGCGAGCGAAGCGGCAAAAGCUCAAAUUUGAAAUCUGGCGUCGUGUCGGCGUCCGAGUUGUAAUUUGAAGAUGGCAACUUUGGGAAUGGCUCUCGCAUAUGUUCCUUGGAACAGGACGUCAUAGAGGGUGAGAACCCCGUUCAUGGCGAGAUGACCCAGUCCUAUGUAAAGUGCUUUCUAAGAGUCGAGUUGUUUGGGAAUGCAGCUCUAAGUGGGUGGUAAAUUCCAUCUAAGGCUAAAUAUUGGCGAGAGACCGAUAGCGAACAAGUACAGUGAUGGAAAGAUGAAAAGAACUUUGAAAAGAGAGUGAAAAAGUACGUGAAAUUGUUGAAAGGGAAGGGCUUGAAGUCAGACAUGGUAUUCAGUGAUCAACUGUCUUUCGGGACUGUGCACUCGCUGUUUACUGGGCCAGCAUCGGUUUAGGCGGUGAGAUAAAUGCAAGAGAAUGUGGCUCCAUCUUCGGGUGGAGUGUUAUAGCUCUUGUUCAUAUCACCAGCUUGGACCGAGGACCGCGCUUCGGCUAGGAUGCUGGCGUAAUGACUUUAAGCCACCCGUCUUGACCCAACGGACCCAC